UGGGGAAUAUUGCACAAUGGGCGCAAGCCUGAUGCAGCCAUGCCGCGUGUGUGAAGAAGGCCUUCGGGUUGUAAAGCACUUUCAGCGGGGAGGAAUGUGGUGAGCUUAAUACGCUCAUCAAUUGACGUUACUCGCAGAAGAAGCACCGGCUAACUCCGUGCCAGCAGCCGCGGUAAUACGGAGGGUGCAAGCGUUAAUCGGAAUUACUGGGCGUAAAGCGCACGCAGGCGGUUUGUUAAGUCAGAUGUGAAAAUCCCCGGGCUCAACCUGGGAACUGCAUUUGAAACUGGCAAGCUAGAGUCUCGUAGAGGGGGGUAGAAUUCCAGGUGUAGCGGUGAAAUGCGUAGAGAUCUGGAGGAAUACCGGUGGCGAAGGCGGCCCCCCUGGACGAAGACUGACGCUCAGGUGCGAAAAGCGUGGGGCAGCAAAACAGGAUUAGAUACCCUGGUAGUCCAGCGCUGU
rnacentral:rRNA from 1 species